CCUACGGGGGGCUGCAGUGGGGAAUAUUGCACAAUGGGGGAAACCCUGAUGCAGCAACGCCGCGUGAGCGAUGAAGGCCUUCGGGUCGUAAAGCUCUGUCCUAAGGGAAGAAUACUGACGGUACCUUAGGAGGAAGCCCCGGCUAACUACGUGCCAGCAGCCGCGGGAAUACGUAGGGGGCUAGCGUUAUCCGGAAUUACUGGGCGUAAAGGGUGCGUAGGCGGCGCUUCAAGUCAGAGGUGAAAGGCUACGGCUCAACCGGAGUAAGUCUGUGAAACUGAAGGGACUGAGUGCAGGAGAGGAGGGUGGAACUCAAAGAGUAGCGGUGAAAUGCGUAGAUAUUGGGAAGAACAGCAGGCGCGAGGGCGGUUUGCGGGACUGUAACUGUCACUUGGGCACCAAUGAGCGGCGAGCGAACUGUAGUAGACGCCCCUCUAGUC
rnacentral:rRNA from 1 species